rnacentral:lncRNA from 1 species
AAAAAAAUUAAAAAAAGAGAUGGGGUUUUGCAUGUUGGCCAGGCUGGUCUCGAACUCCUGGACUCAAGUAAUCUGCCUGGCAUGGCCUCCCAAAGUGCUGGGAUUACAGGCAUGAGCUACCGAGCGUGGCCUAUUACACCUUGUAACCAUUUUGCAACUUUAUCUCCUGGCCUGAUCCAGGCCUACGUCUCCUUCCUGGUCCCUUUCCUGGGUCCUCCCUGGGCUCCUGGACCCAGUCCUGCCCUCUCCAAUCCAUAUUCCACACAGCAGCCAGACAGAGUUCUCCACAGUAAUAUUUAAGUGCCUCUCUGCUCAGUUGCCUCCCGCAAGCCUGAAAUGCCCUGUGAUAAAACCCAUGCUCCUCAUGCCAGCCUUCCAGGCCCCUCGGGAUCUGGCUUCUCCUCUCCAGGCUCUGCUGAAGCCUCUGCCCUCUUCACCCACAGCACAUUUUUUUUUUUUUUUUUCUGAGACGGAGUCUCGCUCUGUUGCCCAGUCUGGAGUGCAGUGGUGCAGUCUCGGCUCACUGCAACCUCCGUCUCAUGGGUUCAAGCGAUUCUCCUGCCUCAGCCUCCUGAGUAGCUGUGAUUACAGGCGCCUGCCACCAUGCCUGGCUAAUUUUUUUGUAUUUUUAGUAGAGAUGGGGUUUCACGAUGUUAGCCAGGCUGGUCUCGAACUCCUGACUGUGUGAUCCACCUGCCUCAGCCCCCCAAAGUGUUGGGAUUACAGGCAUGAGCCACUGCACCCGGCCCCAACUGCUCUUCUUUCAGUUCCUCAAAUGCAUGGUGCUGCUUCCUGCCUCCUGGACUUUGCACGUGCUGUGCCCUCUGCCUGGAACACCCUUUACCCUCUUUACCCGGUCCCCCCAGUAACUUGUACUUCCUCUGUCACAGCCCUCUUUAUGCUGACCUGCAGCAAACCAAGCACCCUGUGGGUCCAGGGACUGUGUCAUGUUUUCUGCCAUCUCCCUGAACCUUUGUAAACACAAAAGCACAGGCAUUACUGCCCCAGGGACCUUGAUCCAAACUCCAGCUCUGCCACUUACCAGCUGAGGAACCUCAUGCAACCUCUUCCGUGAUUGGACCUCAGCUUCCUCAUCUCUGAAGUGAGGAUCACAGCACCAGCCUCCCCGUGCUAUGUGACCACCUUUCAUAGGGGAAUGACACAAGAUCUGUGCUGCCCUCACACAUGGGGGAGCAGCAGGGGCUUGCAUGGGCCAAUAUGGGCAUUCUUUUUUUUUUUU